AGAAAACUUGCUGUUUUUAUUUCAUUCUUAAGUAACCACAGUUGCUAAUGGGACAAAUGUGCCUCGGGCACUGCAGAAGCCCGUAAGCACUGGAACAGAACUGGCCACUGCCACCACCCUCAGUUCUAUCCCAAAUUGAUUCUCUUUCACAGGGUACUCGCUUUGAAUUGUGAUAACCACAACAUCCCAGCAUUGCAGAGAUACACGUAAAUGCAAGGAAUGUAUUGUGUCCUGAUGCUGAAACUGUGAACUACCUUGAGCUAACACUGUAGAGUGGCAUCUAACAGACAGAGUUAUGUUUCCCUGAAAUAUUUGAAAUGGCCCACUGUGACCCUGUGAAUACAGUACCCAGGCAACUCCUGAGCUCAAGCCAUCCUCCCGCCUCUGCCUCCCACAGUGCUAGGAUUACAGGACUGAGCCACCGCGCCCCUGGCCAUACAUUUUUAUUACUUUGAAAAAUAUCUCGGUUCUGCAGCCUGCUCCUUUUUCAAACCGAAGCAGGCAUUUGCCUCAUUACGCAGUUGCGGUCUGCACAACUCUGGCCACCAGGUGGCGCCCGCCCCCCGCCGUUUCUCGAAGGAUCUGUUGCCUGGAUGGAGCGCUAGUUGCUCAAAUCAGUUCGUUCAACACAAGAAGAGUCAGAAGAGAAGUUGGUCACAGAGCCACACCCUGACUUGAACUUUGCAUGUCGAACUGCAAGCCCUUUUUCCAUACCCCAGGCCCUACCUGAGAGGCUCCCUGCCCACCCCUCCCGUCACAGUGGCUCCGACAGCAGUUCCAGCCGUUCCAGCCGUAGCUACAGGCGAACCACUGGGGAAGCACGAGGGAGUUACUACAUGCUGAUAAGAGAACCUACAAAUUCCAAUGAAACAUGACAUCGACUAGGAGAUUUGGAUUCAAAAUUUUAAUAAUAAAUUGUGCCAGUAGAAGCUU